UACAGAGGUCCCAAGCGUUGUUCGGAUUCAUUGGGCGUAAAGGGUGCGUAGGCGGCGCGGUAAGUCGGGUGUGAAAUCUCGGGGCUUAACUCCGAAACUGCAUUCGAUACUGCCGUGCUUGAGGACUGGAGAGGAGACUGGAAUUUACGGUGUAGCGGUGAAAUGCGUAGAUAUCAGGAGGAACACCUGCGGUGUAGACGGCUUACUGGACCAUAACUGACGCUGAGGCACGAAAGCGUGGGUAGCAAACAGG
rnacentral:rRNA from 1 species